rnacentral:rRNA from 1 species
AACGAACGCUGGCGGCAUGCCUAACACAUGCAAGUCGAACGAGACCUUCGGGUCUAGUGGCGCACGGGUGCGUAACACGUGGGAAUCUGCCCUUGGGUUCGGAAUAACAGUUAGAAAUGACUGCUAAUACCGGAUAAUGUCUUCGGACCAAAGAUUUAUCGCCCAGGGAUGAGCCCGCGUAGGAUUAGCUAGUUGGUGAGGUAAGGGCUCACCAAGGCGACGAUCCUUAGCUGGUCUGAGAGGAUGAUCAGCCACACUGGGACUGAGACACGGCCCAGACUCCUACGGGAGGCAGCAGUGGGGAAUAUUGGACAAUGGGCGAAAGCCUGAUCCAGCAAUGCCGCGUGAGUGAUGAAGGCCUUAGGGUGUAAAGCUCUUUUACCCGGGAUGAUAAUGACAGUACCGGGAGAAUAAGCCCCCGGCUAACUCCGUGCCAGCAGCCGCGGUAAU